rnacentral:lncRNA from 1 species
CAACAUAUACCACAAUUUGUUUAGCCAUUCCCCUGUCGAAGGACACCCCCUCAUUUUCCAAUCUUUUGCAACCACAAACAGAUGGCUAUAAAUGAAAAUAAACAUUUAUUAAGCACCAUCAUGUACCAUGUACUGUGGUAAGUACUUUAAAAAUAUCUCAUCUUCCCCCAAUAAUGUUGGAAGGUAAGUGCUAUCAUCUCUAUUUUACACUUGAGGAUAUUGAGGCAGGCAGAGUUUAAAUGAUGUGUUCCUGGUCACACAGAAAUUAUCUGAGGCAGAAUUUGGACCCAGGUCUUCCUGAUUCCAGACAACCUAGUAGAAACUUUCAGAGGAAAUAACAAAAGGAACUACUCUUUCCCAAAAGGGAUCAGAAAAGCACCCAAAGUUCUUCAAAUUAAGAUAGUUAUUUCCUUCAUACAAAAGGCAUGUUUAAAAUACAAGAUUCAUAAACAUUCAUUAAUAAAAUCUUAAAACAACUUCUAUUAUAUUUUCUCAGAAGUUAGCUACCUAAAACAAUGAAGCAUUUUCCAUUGAACUGCUGGAAGUGUUAUGCAUUUUGUAAAACAGUUCCUUUGCAGUCCAUAUCUUAUAGCAAGCCAGGUUUGGCUUGAGUUGAUUCUCCUGUAGGGGGUCAAAUUCUCUAAGAAAAAUCCAUCCUUUAUGACAGCUAUGUGAGCAUUUGGGCUUAGGGAAAGUCACAGAAGCCACAGAGACAGCCAGGUUCCCUAGGUCUAAUUUCAGGCUCACUUAGGAAGUACUUGUGUCCAUUUCCAUGUAGGAGUAGCCAUAGCUGUUAGGUGGUUAGGAACCCCUGUUCUGCUAAUAGGAAAUAUAAGAGAGAGACUUUCAAACUGUCAUCCAAAGCUCAGCAGAUGGGUUUGAGAGAGGGUAGGUGAGAGUGAAGUCACCCCUUUUAAGUUCUACUGAGGUGUGUGGAUUUGAGGUUACUGAGUAGCAUCAAGAAGUUCUCUCUCCAUCCCCAAAAUGAACUUCCUUCCUCCAAAGCAGUUUAGAAAAUGCAUCUAACCGAAUCCUGAUCGGACAAGCCAAGAAACAACUCAUUUUUCCAGUCUGGCUCACUAUAGGCAUACAGAAAUCUGUGGAUACUGGACCCAGUCUGGCAGGAACAUAUGCAGAACAUUACAACCUACAUAGAGGUUGUAUAUCAUGGCAAGAUGAGGUUCUAGAUCCAGGGCAGGAGGAUCUAAAUUUCUGUAGAGUGGAAGAACAGGGACCAACUGAUCCUCAAGGUUCAAGCUGUUGGCAUAAUUUGUUGCCCAAGUAUGAGACUGCCAUGAGGAGCUCCAGAUGCCCUUUCUGA